CCUACGGGUGGCUGCAGUGGGGAAUAUUGCACAAUGGGCGCAAGCCUGAUGCAGCCAUGCCGUGUGUGUGAAGAAGGCCUUCGGGUUGUAAAGCACUUUCAGCGGGGAGGAAGGCGUUAAGGUUAAUAACCUUGUCGAUUGACGUUACCCGCAGAAGAAGCACCGGCUAACUCCGUGCCAGCAGCCGCGGUAAUACGGAGAGUGCAAGCGUUAAUCGGAAUUACUGGGCGUAAAGCGCACGCAGGCGGUCUGUCAAGUCGGAUGUGAAAUCCCCGGGCUCAACCUGGGAACUGCAUUCGAAACUGGCAGGCUAGAGUCUUGUAGAGGGGGGUAGAAUUCCAGGUGUAGCGGUGAAAUGCGUAGAGAUCUGGAGGAAUACCGGUGGCGAAGGCGGCCCCCUGGACAAAGACUGACGCUCAGGUGCGAAAGCGUGGGGAGCAAACAGGAUUAGAUACCCGGGUAGUC
rnacentral:rRNA from 1 species